rnacentral:rRNA from 1 species
UGCCCUUCACUCUGGGACAAGCCCUGGAAACGGGGUCUAAUACCGGAUAACACCGGCCUCCGCAUGGGGGCGGGUUAAAAGCUCCGGCGGUGAAGGAUGAGCCCGCGGCCUAUCAGCUUGUUGGUGGGGUAAUGGCCUACCAAGGCGACGACGGGUAGCCGGCCUGAGAGGGCGACCGGCCACACUGGGACUGAGACACGGCCCAGACUCCUACGGGAGGCAGCAGUGGGGAAUAUUGCACAAUGGGCGAAAGCCUGAUGCAGCGACGCCGCGUGAGGGAUGACGGCCUUCGGGUUGUAAACCUCUUUCAGCAGGGAAGAAGCGCAAGUGACGGUACCUGCAGAAGAAGCGCCGGCUAACUACGUGCCAGCAGCCGCGGUAAUACGUAGGGCGCAAGCGUUGUCCGGAAUUAUUGGGCGUAAAGAGCUCGUAGGCGGCUUGUCACGUCGGGUGUGAAAGCCCGGGGCUUAACCCCGGGUCUGCAUCCGAUACGGGCAGGCUAGAGUGUGGUAGGGGAGAUCGGAAUUCCUGGUGUA